rnacentral:ribozyme from 14 species
AAAAGAAAGAGAGAGAGAGAGAGAAAUGACAAGACAACAGUAUGUAUUGAUAUCUUCUUCUUUUCUCUCCCUUCUCACAUAUUUCUUUCUUCUUUUACCAACUCCACUUAUUCCUCAUU